GCGGGCGUAGUUCAGUGGUAGAACACCAGCUUCCCAAGCUGGAUAUGCGGGUUCGAUUCCCGUCGCCCGCU
rnacentral:tRNA from 1 species